GUAGUCUCGCACAGAUGCAUAUCAAUAAGCGGAGGAAAAGAAACUAACAAGGAUUCCCUUAGUAACGGCGAGUGAAGCGGGAAGAGCUCAAAUCUGAAAUCUUCAAGGUUUUACCUUGACGAAUUGUAGUUUAAAGAAGUGUUUUCUGUUGAAGUUUUGGUAAAAGUUCUUUGGAAUAGGACAUCAUAGAGGGUGAGAAUCCCGUAUUUGACCAUUAUUUUCAGCUGUGUGAUACACUUUCAAAGAGUCGGAUUGUUUGGGAAUGCAGUCCAAAAUGGGUGGUAAAUUUCAUCUAAAGCUAAAUAUUGGCGAGAGACCGAUAGCGAACAAGUACCGUGAGGGAAAGAUGAAGAGAACUUUGAAAAGAGAGUUAAACAGUACGUGAAAUUGUCAAAAGGGAAGCGUUUGACACCAGUGUUGUUUUCUCGAAAAUCAAUUCAAUGAAUGGCUUUAUGCUAAGUUGUUUAGACUUUAUCAGCUUAACUGUCUAGUUUUGAGCUUGUCUUUUGAAUGCACUUUUCAGUUUAACAAGUCAACAUCAAUUUCUUUUGCUGUAAAAGGGUAAGAGGAAGGUGGCUUUGACUUCGGUUAAAGUGUUUAUAGCCUUUUACCUCUGCAGUCGGAGAGAUUGAGGUCUGCAGCGUAGAUUCUUCGGGGUUAGAUACGUUUGUGCUAAGUUAUAGCUUUUCAUAGACAACUUGUUGACUAUGUUUAGUCUUGUAGCUUACUCGCUUACGCUAUUUUACCUACGCUUAGGAUGUUGAUGUGAUACUGCGAGC
rnacentral:rRNA from 1 species